rnacentral:tRNA from 1 species
GUUAAUGUGUCUGAUCUAGGUGGUAAACUGUAAAUUUACUUAAGAAUUUAUAUUCCGUUAAUA